rnacentral:rRNA from 1 species
GCUCUUUUGUCAGGGAAGAAACACCGGCUCUAACACAGUCCGGGAAUGACGGUACCUGAAGAAUAAGCACCGGCUAACUACGUGCCAGCAGCCGCGGUAAUACGUAGGGUGCAAGCGUUAAUCGGAAUUACUGGGCGUAAAGCGUGCGCAGGCGGUUAUACAAGACAGGCGUGAAAUCCCCGGGCUUAACCUGGGAAUGGCGCCUGUGACUGUAUAGCUAGAGUGUGUCAGAGGGGGGUAGAAUUCCACGUGUANCANUGAAAUGCGUAGAUAUGUGGAGGAAUACCAAUGGCGAAGGCAGCCCCCUGGGAUAACACUGACGCUCAUGCACGAAAGCGUGGGGAGCAAACAGGAUUAGAUACCCUGGUAGUCCACGCCCUAAACGAUGCUGACUAGUUGUUCGGGAUUUACAUCCUGAGUAACGUAGCU